UGGGGAAUAUUGGGCAAUGGGCGCAAGCCUGACCCAGCCAUGCCGCGUGAGUGAUGAAGGCCUUCGGGUCGUAAAGCUCUGUGGGGAGGGACGAAACAGGACAUGGCUAACAUCCAUGGCCCUUGACGGUACCUCCUUAGCAAGCACCGGCUAACUCCGUGCCAGCAGCCGCGGUAAUACGGAGGGUGCAAACGUUGCUCGGAAUCAUUGGGCGUAAAGCGCACGUAGGUGGCCUGUUAAGUCGGGUGUGAAAGCCCUCGGCUCAACCGAGGAAGUGCAUUCGAAACUGGCAGGCUUGAGUAUGGAAGAGGGUCGUGGAAUUCCCGGUGUAGAGGUGAAAUUCGUAGAUAUCGGGAGGAACACCAGUGGCGAAGGCGGCGACCUGGGCCAAUACUGACACUGAGGUGCGAAAGCGUGGGGAGCAAACAGGAUUAGAUACCCCCGUAGUCC
rnacentral:rRNA from 1 species